rnacentral:lncRNA from 1 species
AUUUUGUAGCACAUUAAAGAUGAAACCAUCAUGAUCUUUCCUAAAUAAUUUUUCACUUUGGUGGUGUUGAAGUUCUGUUAAUCAUUUUCAAUGUUUAUUCUCAAUUUACCUUAGCAAAAAGCUCUAUACUAGUGCUGAAGGGAGUCAGUCCUAAUAAAGUAAUAAAGUAAGAAAUGGAAUGAUCAUCCAUAUUAGUUAGCAUAGGGGUUCACCUGCUGUCACCAACACCAAUGAUGGCAGUUAUCUUCAUAGUCCCAGUAUAAGGAGUCCUGUGCUGGUUUGGAGACUUGACUAUAUCAGGGACACACCUUCCCCUCUCUGCCAACCAUACAGUAUUCCUUGGUCAGCAUGAUCCCAGCUGGUUCACUAUUGCAUCCUCAUUCCAGCCAGUGGGAGGGGUUACAGGACUGAGCCUUUCUUCCUUUGAAGGACAUGCAUCAUUUCCACAUCCAUCCAAAAUAUCCCAUGGCCAGAAAUUGAUCACAUGACCACAUCAAGAUGCAAGAAACAAUGGAAGAAGUGGUCAUUUUUUUUUCUGGGGGUACUUGAUCCCAACUAAAAAUUGUGUAGCUUAGAUGAGGGGAAUGGAUAUUGAAGGACAAAUGGCAGUUUCUGACACAGUACCCCUAUGACAUUUUUAUUGCCACACAAUGCAGAAUCCAAGGUGUGUCUCUGAUCUACACCACAGCUCACAGCAAUGGCGGAUCAUUAACCCACAGAGUAAGGCCAGGGAUUGAAUCCACAACCUCGUGGUUCCUAGUUGGAUUUGUUAACCACCGAGCCGUGACGGGAACUCCUACUGUGACAUUUUUGAUUCGCCUAUUCCAGAUGGGCUGUGCUACAUCAUGCUGCCCCUUCUUGUGAACUGGAUUUCAAGAGCAACCAGUUCUUUUACAAAGACAUCAAUAUUUAUGAUCUCACUGGUUUCACUAAUUCAACUAUCAUUUAGUGAACACCUACCUUGUGACAAGUUAUGCUAUAAGUACUGAAGAUAAAAAAUUAAAUAACACUCUGUCUUUUCCUCACACUAGAUGGUAGGUGCUCUCCUCAGAGCCUGCUGCAUCCCUCAGGGCCCCAGAGAUGCUGAUUUCUGAGUCCUCACUUCCUUAGGAGGGUAAUGUUCCCCUUGCCUUCCUUGCCUUUCAGGAUUAGAAGAUUGAGUUAUGGAGAUCUGAGUUCUGGUCUCUCUGGCAUCAGGCCAUUCUGAAAGGUCCUUUCCUUUCAGGCAGAAAACCGACAAAGUCAGGCACUUUGCUCUGAGGCUUUCAUUUGCGUUUCUAAGUUGAUUGCCUAAAACUCAGACCGCUUUCCCUGUGGGGAGAGGGAUGGACUGGGCUUCUUAAAGUGUGUGUGUGUGUGUGUGUGUGUGUGUGUGUGUGUGUGCGCGCGCGCGCGUGUGGUGUGAUCCCUGAGAAAAAAGGUGGAACUUCAUGCCAAACUGUUGGAAAGAGAAGAGAGGGCAGAGUGUGGGUGGGGUAAUAGGACCCUGUGUCCUUCUUUGAUGUUGUCCCCUUAGGGAGCCCUUAUUAGAGCCUUCUCUAGCCUUCUUCUCUCUAGUCCCUUGUAACUAGCUUCACCUCUGUCACUUUCUCCUUUCACUCCACUGGCCUCCAAGGUGUUUAGCCAGCCAAGCUUGCUCCCUCCUUAUGGCCUUUAUGUUCUGUGUCCCUUCUGUGUGGGCCACUCUCCCCUGAGUCAUGAGGUUAACCUCUGACUUCCUUCAGGUCUUUACUCACCUUCUCUGUGAGGCCUUCCAUGGCCACUCUUUCAAAACUGUCAGCCUUUCAUCUCGAUGCUCUAUACAUUUCCCUGCUCUACUAUGUCUCCUGAGCACUCGCUAUUGUUUACUUAAUUUCUGCUAGAAACAGAGCGGAAUGGACAAUAAAAGACAGAUAAUCUCCAGGGGAACAUGGAUUUUUGUCUGUUUGUUUCUUUCUUUUUUUUCUUUUUACAGCUGCACCUGUGGCACAUGGAAGAUCCAGGGCUAGGGCCUGAAUCAAAGCUGCAGCUGAGCCCUAUGCCACAGCCAUGGCAACAUCUAAAACCUGUGCUGCAGCUUAUGGCAGUGCUGGAUCUUUAACACAGUGAGUGAGGCUAGGGUUCAAACCUGCAUCCUUACAGAGACUGUGCUGGGUCCUUAACUCCCUGAGCCACAAUAGGAACUCCUGUCUGUUUUUUUCAUACUCUGUCUUAUAGAAUAGUUCUUUGUACAUGGUACAUUCUUUAGUAAGUAUUUGUUAAGUGAAUGAAUAAUGACAAAAUUCCCUAAGUCUCAGCUAGACAAAUAGGAAGUAUAAUCUCCUUCAUUUAAAUUGAUCAUAUGAUUUGGACAAUUGGAAUUUCAGUAGAAAUUCUUGACUUUAGGAUUGAAGACUCCCCUAAGCUUGUUGGCUAGUAUAGGGAAUCUUAGUAACAAAGGGCAUAAAGUCACAUAGUUUAUGAUAGUUUUAAUCAUAGUUUAUGAUUUUUUGAAGAUGAAGGAGAUGUGGCAUUUCUUGCAUCACAAUGUUUUGAGCAAAGUGUAGCCAGUUCACCUUGAGUGUGCACAAAAGCCAGCCUUGCCGCCUCCUGCUAGCUUUUGUCGGUGCAAGUAUGCCUGGCAGUUUGACUUGAGAAUGGCAUUAAGGACUUGCCAUGGUGCUGACAUGAGAAGUGAGAAAUGGCAAGUGCAUGGAACUAGCACAGGGAGCAAAGGGUCAGUGUUUCAAUACCAGCCAUGGCUUAGUUGAUAAGAUACUGCAAAUGAGUACUUCAUGUGUGUGUGUGAGUCUCUGUGUGUCACAUAAGAAGCAUAUAUUGUGUUAUGUGCACAAUGGCCAGUGAAUUUGAUGCCUCUGUUAUGGAUGCUAUUGGAUGUGUCAGCACUUCUUCCAUUCCCUUCUGUCUUGAGGUGUGUGGAAAUUUCUCCUGUGCCAUCCUUUACUUUGAUAAAGGAAUUGAAAAUAAGGUCUCCUCUCUUUGCUUUUGACUUCUCCAUUCAUAUAAUUGGUUUUCCUCCUUUGCUCAGUGCUCCCUAUGGUCACAUCAUAUUACAAAUUAUUAUAUAAUAAAAGUUGUUGCCUUGUAUUUUCUUUCCUACCUGUUUCCUACAGAACUUGGGAGAAAUAAAAGGAAUUGACCCAGGUUAAGAUGACAAAAAUAAUUAUCCCUCGUUUAAAAGAAGAAAAGUUUACAUUAAUAGACUAAUUCAAAUUUAUUUAAUUUUGCACAGAAUUAAAAAAAGCAUCUCACUGAAAAGUAACAUGAAAAAGAAUAUUAAAAUUCUUGAUAAGUUAAGGGGUUAGAAACUACCAUUUAUUGACUAUGUAUAGGGUACCAUCUAGAAAUUCAGUAACUGAGCUGAGAAAUUGAUGUUAUCCCAUUUUACAGGGAAAGAAACCAAGCUUCAGGGAUGUUAAUAAAUGCUAAGGACAUAUUAGUAGGAAGUGGGAGAGGCUGGAUUUGUAUUUAGAUGUGUCUGAUUCCAACCAAACUUUACUAUGCUGGUUUCCAACUGUCUUUAAAUUCAGAGUGUUCUUAAAAUUUCAGUACUGUACAUUCUAAAUUGAAAGCACUGUAUUUCAUUUCUAAGUAAGAUCAUCUUUUCCCUUUGCCAGAAAUAAUAUCUUUGAUUGCUCUAGCGCUUGGUUUGUAUGAAUUGCUUUCCUUGUUUUCUCAAUGCCAUGCAGGGAUUUAAAGUUCCUUGCUGUUAAAAACAGAGAUGAGUUACCUCAUUUUUGAAAUUCCUACACUGAGUUUCAAAAGCAAAAACAUGUCAUUAGGAGCUUAGGCUCAGAAUCUGAAUUUCAUCUUCUCUGCUUACUUACUGCAUAAUAGUGGCCACAUUCCUUAAUUAGGCUGUACCUCAAUAUCUCUAUCUGUAAAACAGAGGUAAUAUCAUCAAUAUAAAGAUUAAAAUAGUUAAUGUGUUAAUACAAUUAAAGUGCUUUUAAACAGAGCCUGACACACAAACAUCACCAAUAAAAUUUUUAUUUCUACCCAGGCAUGGCAAUCAUAAAGAGACAAUCAUUUUCAUUUUCUGGAACAUAGGAUAUUAGUUUCCUAAGGAUCCUUUCCUUCCAUGUCUUCCUGUUAACUAUCUGCUAGGGUUAUGCCAGCUGCGCAUGGUGCUUUUUCACUCAAGAGGAAGACAUCUGAAAAUAGGCCUGUCUGUCUCUUUUAUUUUUAAAUUCAUACAUUUGUAAUGAAAAAAGCAAACUGAUCAUCAUUGGAGGAUCUUAGUGGACCAACUCAGUAUUUUGAAAAUUGGUCAGUACAGCAACAUACUAAAGGCCUAUCCUUCAUUUCCUGUGUGGACUGUCCUACUAGAUAAUCAAUAGUAGAAAAGGAAUUAUUUCUUUUCACAGAAGAGUGCAUGGAUCUAGGCAUUGGACAUCAAUACCCCUAAGAUCAAAGAGAGACAUAGAUAGAUAGACAGAUAGAUAGAUAUAUAGAUAGAUAGAUUAUGUGAUUCCAUUUAAUUGAACAUACCAUCAAUAAAGUAGUCUUAUUAAACACUAUAAUUUAUGGAGUUCCCAUUGUGGCUCAGCAAUAACGAACCUGAUUAGUAUCCGUGAGGACAUGGGUUCAGUCCCUAGCCUUGCUCAGUGGGUUAAGGAUCUGAUGCUGCUGUGAGCUGUGGUGUAGGUUGCAGACAUGGUUUAGUGUUGCUUAGGCUGUGGUGUAGGCAGGCAGCUUCAGCUCUGAAUUGACCACUAACGUGGGAACUUCCAUUUGACGUGGGUGCAACCCUGAAAAAAGAAAAGAAAAGGAAAAAAAAAAAAAAGAAAAAAAA